GUUUUGGUGCUCUGGAUACCAGUGUAUCAGGAGGCUGAGUGAAAACAGACAUUUAUUUUAGAUUUAAUUCCUACUCUUUUUUAUGUGUGUCACAUUUCAUUCUAGAGAAAUGUAUUUUGGUCCAGAGCAAAAAUACAUAAUCAGAUUAAGGCAACAGAACCAAAACUUCAGUGAGGAUUAAG
rnacentral:lncRNA from 12 species